rnacentral:rRNA from 1 species
GCCAAAAUUCUAGCUCCCCAUUAACCCUAUGUACCCCACCCCUUAACUCAUUCCAACCAAAACAUUUUUACAUUAUAGUAAAGGAGAUUGAAAAAUUUACUGAAGCAAUAAACCUAGUACCGCAAGGGAAAGAUGAAAUAUUAAUGAAAAUAUUUAAGCAAAAAAAAGUAGAGCCCAACUCUCGUACCUUUUGCAUCAUGGUUCAACUAGUCUAAUCAAGCAAAAAGCAUUAUAGUUUGACCCCCCGAAACUAAGCGAGCUACUUCAGGGCAGCUUAAUGAGCCAACCCGUCUCUGUUGCAAAAGAGUGGGAAGACCCCUAAGUAGAGGUGACAUAUCUAACGAGCCUAGUGAUAGCUGGUUACUUAGGAAAAGGAUCUUAGUCCAACCUAAAGUCUUACCUUUAUGCCAAAAACACCUUUUGACUUUAGAGCAAUUCAAAUAAGGUACAGCCUAUUUGAAACAGGAUACAACCUAAUCUGACGGGUAAAAUUUAUAUUAACCCCCAUCCCCCCAAGUAGGCCUAAGAGCAGCCAUCUUUUUAAAAGCGUCACAGCUUAGUCCCCCUCAAAAUCCCAAUUCCCCAUACUUACUUAAACCCUCUAACAUUACUGAGUAAUCCUAUACUUUUAUAGAAAAUUUUAUGUUGAAACUAGUAACAAGAAUAAAAACCUUCUCUUAAAUGCAAGUAUAAAUCAGAAAGGAUAAACCACUGAUAAUUAACGCCCAUGAACAUAUAUUAGCAACCCCACAAGAAAACCCUAAUAUACCUCACGUUAACCUGACACAAGAGCAUUUCAAGAAAGAUUAAAAGAAAGAGAAGGAACUCGGCAAAUAUUAACCCCGCCUGUUUACCAAAAACAUCGCCUCUUGACUAAAAAUAAGAGGUCCAGCCUGCCCAGUGACAAAUGUUCAACGGCCGCGGUAUCCUAACCGUGCGAAGGUAGCGUAAUCACUUGUUCUUUAAAUGGGGACUAGUAUGAACGGCACCACGAGGGUUAUACUGUCUCCUCUUUCCAAUCAGUGAAACUAAUCUCCCCGUGAAGAAGCGGGGAUGAGAUUAUAAGACGAGAAGACCCUAUGGAGCUUUAAACUUCUCUUCAGACGCUAGAAUACUCUUACAAGUCACCGACCCCUUCAUACUCACCCUCGGCGCCAUGAAGAUGACUUUUAGGUUGGGGUGACCGUGGAGUAUAAAAAAUCCUCCACGCUGAACUAGGUCUCCAAACCUUGAGCGUAGGGCUACAACCCAAAGCACUAAAAAACUAACACCCAUUGACCCAAUAUUAUUUGAUCAACGAACCAAGUUACCCUAGGGAUAACAGCGCAAUCCACUUCAAGAGUCCCUAUCGACAAGUGGGUUUACGACCUCGAUGUUGGAUCAGGGUAUCCCAGUGGUGCAGCCGCUACUAAUGGUUCGUUUGUUCAACGAUUAAAACCCU